CCAGACUCCUACGGGAGGCAGCAGUGGGGGAUAUUGCACAAUGGGGGGAACCCUGAUGCAGCGACGCCGCGUGAGCGAUGAAGUAUUUCGGUAUGUAAAGCUCUAUCAGCAGGGAAGAAAAUGACGGUACCUGACUAAGAAGCCCCGGCUAACUACGUGCCAGCAGCCGCGGUAAUACGUAGGGGGCAAGCGUUAUCCGGAUUUACUGGGUGUAAAGGGAGCGUAGACGGCAGUGCAAGUCUGGAGUGAAAGGCGGGGGCUCAACCCCCGGACUGCUCUGGAAACUGUACGGCUGGAGUGCAGGAGAGGUAAGUGGAAUUCCUAGUGUAGCGGUGAAAUGCGUAGAUAUUAGGAGGAACACCAGUGGCGAAGGCGGAUUGCUGGACAGUAACUGACGCUGAGGCGCGAAAGCGUGGGGAGCAAACAGGAUUAGAUACCCCCGUAA
rnacentral:rRNA from 1 species